rnacentral:rRNA from 1 species
CAGAACGAACGCUGGCGGCGCGUCUUAAGCAUGCAAGUCGAGCGGCAAGGGCAGAAAUGCCCCUAGAGCGGCGGACUGGUGAGUAACGCGUGGGAGACCUGCCUUUGGGAUGGGGACAGCCGCUGGAAACAGCGGGUAAUACCGAAUACGCUCAUUUGGCAAUGGCUAGGUGAGGAAAGGGGCCUUGGCCCCGCCCGGAGAGGGGCCCGCGUCCCAUUAGCUAGUUGGGGGUGUAAAGGACCACCAAGGCGAAGAUGGGUAGCCGGCCUGAGAGGGUGAACGGCCACACUGGGACUGAGAUACGGCCCAGACUCCUACGGGAGGCAGCAGCUAAGAAUAUUCCGCAAUGGUCGAAAGACUGACGGAGCGACGCCGCGUGGGUGACGAAGGCCGAAAGGUUGUAAAGCCCUUUUGUCAGUGAAGAAUAAGCGAUGGAGGGAAUGCCAUCGUGAUGAC